rnacentral:rRNA from 1 species
AUUAUAAAUUUAAUUAUUAUUAUUGAUUUUUUAAAGUAUUAUUUUAUUUAUUAUUAUAAAAGAAAAAUUAAUUUUUUAUUAUAGUUUACUAGUAAAGUGAUUGAAUUUAUUUAUAUAUUAAUAAGAAAAAUUUAUUUUUUGUACCUUGUGUAUCAGGGUUGAUUAAUUUUAUAAUUAUUAUUAAUUUUUCUCGAAUUAAGAAGAGCUAAUUAUGUAUAUGUUUAAUUUUUUCAUAAAUUUUCAUAAUAUAUAAUUUGAAAUGAAAUGUUAUUCGUUUCUUAAUAUAUCUAGUUUUUUAAGAAAAGAAUUUAAUUCUCUUAUUAUUUAUUAUUAGUUAAUUUUUAGUUAAUAAUUUUUAGUAUGAAAUAAAUAAAGGGAUAAGCUUUUAUUUUAAUAAUUAAAAAUUUAUUUGGUUUUAUUUUUUGUAUAAUUUAAAUUGUUAAUCAUUUUUAUAAUAUAAUAGUUAAUUUUAUUUAAUUAAUGAUUUAUAUUUAUUUUAAUUUUUUUAUUAAAAAUUUAUGUUUAAUUUUUUAGCUUUUUUAUAAUGAUUAAAUUAGUAGAUAAAUAUGUAUUUUAUUAUUUAUUUUUAAGAUAAUAAAAAGGAACUCGGCAAAUAAAUUUUUCGCCUGUUUAUUAAAAACAUGUCUUUUUGAUUAUAAUUUAAGGUUUAAUCUGCUCAAUGAUUUAUUAAAUUGCCGCAGUAUUUUGACUGUGCAAAGGUAGCAUAAUAAUUAGCUUUUUUAUUGAGAGCUGGAAUGAAUGAUUGGACGAAAAAAUUUCUGUCUCUUUAUUAUUUAUUCUUUAAUUUUACUUUUAAGUUAAAAGGCUUAAAUUUUUUUAAAAGACGAGAAGACCCUAUAGAGUUUUAUUUUUAUUUUUUGAUUAAUUUUUAGAAUUUAAAAUAUUUUAUAAAAUAAAAAAUUUAGCUGGGGUGACUGAAAGAUUAAUUAAACUCUUUUAAUUGAAAUCAUUUAUUUAUGAAUAGAGAAAUUAUUUUUAUAAAUUUAAAAUAAAUUACCUUAGGGAUAACAGCGUUAUUUUUCUUUAGAGUUCUUAUUGAAAGGAAAGAUUGCGACCUCGAUGUUGGAUUAAAAUUUAUUUUUGGUGUAGAAGCUUAAAUAUUAAGUCUGUUCGACUUUUAAAAUUUUACAUGAUCUGAGUUUAAACCGGUGUAAGCCAGGUUGGUUUCUAUCUUUAAAUUUUUAAUAUAUUUUAGUACGAAAGGACCAAAUAUAUAAUAUAUUAUUUUAUUUUGAAUAAUAUU